UACGUAGGGUGCGAGCGUUGUCCGGAAUUAUUGGGCGUAAAGAGCUCGUAGGCGGUUUGUCGCGUCUGCUGUGAAAAACUCGGGGGCUUAACCCCGGGCCUGCAGUGGGUACGGGCAGACUAGAGUGCGGUAGGGGAGACUGGAAUUCCUGGUGUAGCGGUGAAAUGCGCAGAUAUCAGGAGGAACACCGGUGGCGAAGGCGGGUCUCUGGGCCGUAACUGACGCUGAGGAGCGAAAGCGUGGGGAGCGAACAGG
rnacentral:rRNA from 1 species